GCUUGAUCCAUUUUUAUUUUCAUCUUAUCUAAAAGUCUCUAGAUUUUCUUAUCAGAAAUGUAGUUUCCUCAAGUGAUAACUUCUAGUAUGUUUGUUGGGUUAGUUGCUUAUUCACUUACUCGUUUUUAUAUUUGGUUCAUCAAUAUUACGAGAGGACCUGACAGAGCCACAGAGGUGUCGGGUUGAAAUACUUUCUGUAGAAUUUUGCAAAAUUUUUUAGCCCUGUCACGUCAAAUCUUUAGACGGAUGUAUGGAGUAUUAAAUAUAGAUGAAAAUAAAAACUAAUUGCACAGUUUGAUCGGAAUUGACGAGAUGAAUCUUCUGAGCCUAGUUAGUCCAUAAUUGGACAAUAUUUGUCAAAUACAAAUGAAAAUGCUACUAUUCCUAUUUUGCAAAAAAUUUUGGAAGUUAACAAGGCCUUAUGGUUGUAGUUUCGUAAACGUGUGCUAUGUAUUUCACUUUUCCAUUUCCCAAUACAAGUGUUAUGACGGGACUUGAGUAUGAACGGAGGAGGCCUGCCCGUGGCUAGCAGGCGCAUGCAGGAAAUGGACUCACGGCCCAUCAAGUCUGCUAUUUAUAGUAUUAAUUAGGAGAUUAUUAUUAUUAGAAAGUUAUUUCUAUCUUUUUAGAAGGAGUACAAGCUAUAUAUAGUUGUAAAGACAAUUUGCAUCGGUCAAGCAGAAACAGAUUUGUUUCCACUGAAGGGAGCCGGGAGUUCUAAACCUAGCCGCCACUUCUCCCUGCCUUCAAUCUGACGAAUGCACAACCAGCAGCCACGGCUCCUCUCCGUGGAACGUUCAAGACAUGACCACCAGUGUUCCACCGCUACAACCUCCGAUCGUCUAGGCGCAGAGAGCAGCUCUCUAUCAACCUGGUAUCAGACUUCUCACGAUCCAUGACGAUGCUCCCUGGUGCAACGGACGGCGUGGCGGCCGCAGCCGUCACCGAUGCGCAGGCUUCUCUGCCGCUGCCGGCGGGCACAGGCACGCUGGUGCCGGCGGCCACUCUGCCCCUGGUUUUUGACGCUCCGUUGCAUCUGGCAGCUGAGGCGUCCUCCUCUUCCUCGGGCCCCAUCACCCUUGACGAAUUGACGCAGGUGGUCCGGGAUCUCAGCAAGGCGGUGGCGGGCAUCCACCACUUCUUGGUGGCUCCACCACCCUCGCCGCCUCAGCAACACCGCCUGCCGCCGCCUCCCCCAUCCACCACCGCGGCGGAUGCGGCCUUGUUCCCGUACGGGAUGCAGCCGGACUCAACCACGGUGACAACCGCUGCUGCUGCUCCUAUGCCAGGCAGGCUGCCCCUCCACAUUGUCUAGUUUCCCCACUCCCUGUCUCCAAUUCCGAGUUAGGCGCUCGGAGCCGCCGGUCCGGUCUAUUCUGCAGCGCCAUCACGUACCGCGAUCCCCCAAGCUCCCUCCAUCACGACCAGCUUCAACAUCAACCAUGGGGGCGUUCCUGCCUCAGGGACCUUGUACGGGGGUGUGGAUGGUGCCAUCUACUCGUCGCUUACCGCACCGGCUACAACGGCCCCAGCGGUGUUCGGCUACGGCACGCCUGCGACGACUGGCCAGGGCGCCCCAGCGGUGUUCGGCUACGGCGCGCCCGCGACGGCCAGCCAAGGCACCCCAGCGGCGUUCGGCUAUGGCGCGACCGCGCCGGGCGGCUGUGGCGCCCCCACAGCGUUCGGGUUCGGCACAUCAGCAGCGUUCGGCCCAGGCGAGUUCCAGCCCAAAGGCUUCAAGCUGGACUUCACCACCUAUGACGGCUCCAGCGACCCGUUGAACUGGCUCACCCACUGCGAGCAGUUCUUCUGGGGCCAGCGCACCCUGGAGGCUCAGCGCAUGUGGAUGGCGUCGUAUCACCUCACCAGCAACGCCCAAACAUGGUACUACGCCCUUUUGCUGGAUGAAGGCCAGCCCUCCUGGGAGCGCUUUAAGGAGUUGGUUCGCAGCCGUUUUGGGCCACCCAUCUAUGGCUCCAGGCUGGCUGAGUUGGACCGCUUGCCGUUCCACUCCACGGUCCAGGAGUUUGCAAACCGGUUCCAGACGAUCCUUGCGCACUCCAGGGACAUCUCUCCGCGGCAGAAGGCAGAGCUCUUCGUCGGCGGGCUACCGGAACACAUUCGGGUCAACGUGGCCAUGCGCGCCCCGCCCGACCUCUAGUCUCGGUGUUUCUGGCCCGCGCCUUCGAGAGCCGCGCUGUGGCCACGGCCGCAUUAUUCCAGCCCCAGCAGGUGCACGGAGCACGUCUCCCGCCAUGGCCGACCCCUCUUCCCCGACAACCCGGGGCGGCCGUGGUCCCUGCCGGUGCUCCUGCCCUGGCUGCGGUCGCCGUGGCACCAGCAGGUCCGGGAUCGGCGGCUCCAGGGCGGCAGUUUCGUCGUCUCUCGCCGGCGGAGAUGCAAGAGCGUCACCGCCAGGGCCUCUGCUACAACUGCGACGAGCAGUAUGUGCGUGGGCAUGUUUGCCCCCGCCUGUUCUACCUCGAGGCGGACGACUUCGCCGUGGACAAGGAGCUGCCAGCGGAGGACGCCGUGCCCGCGGUCUUUCCGGAGGAGCUGCACGUCGAUGGCGCUCACGCUCACGCUAUUGUCGUUUCUCUGUGCAUGCUCUUGCAGGGCUCAAGACCUACCACACGCUGCUACUUCCGGUGAUGAUCAAGGGCGAGCGCUUCCUCGCCUUGCUCGACACGGGCUCCACCCAUACCUUCAUCUAGGGAGAUGCCAUGCGCCGCCUUGGGCUCGUGCCCCAGCGAGGCGACCAGCUCCGCGUCACAGUGGCCAGCGGGGAGCGCGUGCCGUGCGAAGGGAUCGCACGCGACGUUCCGGUCAUCAUCAGCGGGUCACCUUUCUCCACCUGCGUCGGUCUCACGCUGGGCUGCUUCGACUUCAUCUUGGGCGUCGACUUCCUUGGCACAUUGGCCCGCCUCACAUGGGACUUUGAGGGGCUCACCGUGUCCUUUCAAUAGGACGGCCGCCGUAUCACGUGGCAGUGCGAGGCGCCUCUAGGCGCGCCACCUCAGCAGCGCUCGCGGUAGAGUCGCCGCAGCCGCUGCUGGAGGCGCUACUUCUACAGCACAACGCCGUUUUCGACACGCCGCGCGGCCUUCCACCGGCUCGGCCCUACGACCACCGCAUCCACCUGCUGCCGGGGACCGCACCGGUCGCCGUGUGGCCGUACCGCUAACCGCAGCUGCAGAAGGACGAGUUGGAGCGGCAGUGCGCCGUCAUGCUGGAGCAGGGGAUCAUCCGACCUAGUACUUCCCCGUUCUCGGCGCUAGUGCUGCUUGUCAAGAAGGCGGACGGGUCGUGGCGUUUCUACAUCGACUACCGCGCUCUCAACGACAAGACGUCCAAGGAUAAGUUCCCGAUCCCGGUGGUCGACGAGUUCCUCGACGAGCUGCACGGGGCCAAAUUCUUCACCAAGCUCGACCUCCGCUCUGGGUACCAUCAGGUGCGCAUGCACCCGGCAGAUAUCGAGAAGACGGUUUUCCGUACCCACCAUGCCACUUCGAGUUCCUGGUGAUGCCGUUCGGGCUUACCAACGCCCCGACAACAUUCUAGGCGCCGAUGAACGACGUCCUCCGUCCAUUCCUCCAUAGGUUCGUGCUGGUUUUCUUCGAUGACAUUCUCAUCUACAGCACGUCAGAGCACCUGCAGCACAUGGGCCUCGUCUUCACCGCCCUUCGUGCCCACGACCUCUUCUUGAAGUGCUCCAAGUGCUCCUUCAGGGCGCCCUCUGUCACCUACCUCGGCCACGUCAUCUCCGCCGACGGGGUCGCCAUGGACAGCGACAAGGUGGCCGGCAUCGCCUCGUGGCCGACUCCACGCUCGCCGCGGGUUCCUGGGUUUGGCGGGCUACUACCGCAAGUUCAUCCGCGACUUCGGCUCCAUCGCGGCGCCUCUCACGUGCCUCCUACGGAAGGAGGCCUUCGUUUGGACAGCGGAGGCGGACGAGGCCUUUGCCAGCCUCAAGCGGGCACUCUUGACGGCGCCGGUGCUCCACAUGCUUGAUUUCGAUCGACAAUUUGUGGUCGAAAGCGAUGCUUCGGCGUCGUUCUUCACCAGGGGGCGGGACCCCUGGCCUUCUUCAGCCGCCCCUUCGCCGCCCGCCACGUCAAGCUCGCAGCGUAUGAGCAGGAGCUGAUUGGGCUAGUGCAGGUGGUCAAGCACUGGCGGCCGUACCUGUGGGGUCACCGCUUCCUCGUCCGCACCGACCACUACAGCCUGAAGUUCCUCUUGGAUCAGCGGCUGUCCACCGUUCCCCAGCACCAGUGGAUCAACAAGUUGUUCGAGUUCGAUUUCACGGUGGAAUUUCGUCCCGAGCGGCUGAAUUCUACGGCAGACGCGCUCUCACGCCGUGAUGAGGAGGCAGCAGCGUUGUGUGCCCUGUCCUCCCCAUCCUUCCACCUCUAUGCCGACCUUCGCCGAGAUACGGUGGCCGAUCCGGUCGCCCGAGACAUGCUGCAGCAGCUGGCCGCCGGCUCCCUAGGCGUGCCGUGGACCGAGGCGGACGGGUUCCUCCUUCACGGCAAGCGCCUCUAUGUUCCAGACUUCGACAACUUACGCCACCAGGUGGUGGCCUUGGCUCAUACGGUGGGGCAUGAGGCGGUUCAGAAGACCCUUGUGCGCCUCCGUGGCGACUUCUACAUUCCUGGCGACCGUCAGCUCGUGCAAGACUUCGUCCGGACGUGCGACGUCUAUCAACGGAACAAGACGCCUACUACGCAGCCGGCCGGGCUCCUUCAACCCCUCGACGUCCCGUCCUAGGUGUGGGUGGACAUUAGCAUGGAUUUCAGUGAGGGGCUCCCCAAGGUGCAUGGCAAAUCCGUGAUCCUGAUGGUGGUUGAUCGCUUUUCGAAGUACGCCCACUUCAUCGCCCUCAGCCACCCCUACACCGCCGCUUCGGUUGCUCGUGCCUUCUUUGAGGGGAUUGUGCGUCUACGCGGCUUCCCCACCUCCGUCAUCAACGAUCGUGACCCGGUCUUUACCAGCCACCUGUGGCGUGAUCUCUUCAAGUGUGCAGGUGUCAAGCAGCGGCUCAGUACAGCGUUCCACCCUCAGACAGAUGGCCAGUCCAAGGUCGUCAACAAGAUCAUCACUAUGUAUUUGCAGUGUGCCACGGGGGAUCGUCCGCGCUCCAGGAUUGACUGGCUCUCAUGGGCGGAGUACUGCUACAACACCCACUACCCCACCGCGCUUCGGGCGACGCCGUUCGAGGUGGUUUACGGUCGGCCCCCACCUCCCCCUCUACCGCACCAGGAGGGGGCGGCUCAAACCGAGGCGGUGGACGUCUUGCUGCGGGACCGCGACAAGUUUCUGGCGGAGGUCCGUGAGCGUCUUCUCCAAGCGCAGCAGUACGCGAAACGCCACUACGAUGAGCAUCAUCGCGAAGUGGAGUUUGACGUGGGGGCAUGGGUGCUGCUCCGGCUUCUCCACCGUCCUACCCAGGCCCUCGCAUCCCCAGCGAAGGGCAAGCUGCGCCCGAGGUACGCCGGUCCUUUCCAGGUGGUGGAGCGCGUGGGACCGGUCGCCUAUCAUCUCCAACUUCCCCUCGAGGCUCGCCUGCACGAUGUCUUCCAUGUGGGGCUCCUCAAACCCUACAAUUCCUUGGGGACUCCUCCAGCACUGCCUAUGGCGCUCCCUCCGGUCCAGGAUGGCCGGCUGCUGCCAGCGCCCGAGCGGGUCCUGCGUGCCCAGCAGCACCGUGGUGUUUGGCGCCUGCUGAUCAAGUGGCAAGGUCUUCCGGACGAUGACGCGACGUGGGAGUCACUAGAAGACUUCAAGACUCUACCCCGAUGUCCAGCUCGAGGACGAGCUGUUUGUCGAGGCGGGGAGAGAUGUUAUGACGGGACUUCAGUAUGAACGGAGGAGGCCUGCCCGUGGCUAGCAGGCGCAUGCAGGAGGACUCACGGCCCAUCAAGUCUGCUAUUUAUAGUAUUAGGAGAUUAUUAUUAUUAGCAAGUUAUUUCUAUCUUUUUAGAAGGACAAGCUAUAUAUAGUUGUAAAGACAAUUUGCAUCGGUCAAGCAGAAACAGAUUUCUUUCCGGCUUCCUGAAGGGAGCCGGGAGUUCUAAACCUAGCCGCCACUUCUCCCUGCCUUCAAUCUCACGCACGCACAACCAGCAGCCACGGCUCCUCCCCGCGGAACGUUCAAGCCACGACCACCAGUGUUCCACCGCUACAACCUCCGAUCGUCUAGGCGCAGAGAGCAGCUGUCUAUCAACAAGUAAUAUGAGUUAGUGCUUAUGCAAUCCAGAAAGGCAGAAACGAAAUACUGAAGUUAAAUUGCUUAGCUAGAUUUGCUCUUUGUCUUCAUAUGGAGCGUAUGUUCGUCCAAUGCCAUAUGCAAAUGAGGUCGGUUUGCGAAUGGUUAUAGGUGGUGCUGCACGGGAA